rnacentral:rRNA from 1 species
AUUGAACGCUGGCGGCAGGCCUAACACAUGCAAGUCGAGCGGAUGAAGGGAGCUUGCUCCUGGAUUCAGCGGCGGACGGGUGAGUAAUGCCUAGGAAUCUGCCUGGUAGUGGGGGAUAACGUCCGGAAACGGGCGCUAAUACCGCAUACGUCCUGAGGGAGAAAGUGGGGGAUCUUCGGACCUCACGCUAUCAGAUGAGCCUAGGUCGGAUUAGCUAGUUGGUGGGGUAAAGGCCUACCAAGGCGACGAUCCGUAACUGGUCUGAGAGGAUGAUCAGUCACACUGGAACUGAGACACGGUCCAGACUCCUACGGGAGGCAGCAGUGGGGAAUAUUGGACAAUGGGCGAAAGCCUGAUCCAGCCAUGCCGCGUGUGUGAAGAAGGUCUUCGGAUUGUAAAGCACUUUAAGUUGGGAGGAAGGGCAGUAAGUUAAUACCUUGCUUUUUUGACGUUACCAGCAGAAUAAGCACCGGCUAACUUCGUG